UUAGCGAAUGAAUUAUGAAAAAUACAAAAAUAAUUUCAAAUAUUCGUUUUAAGGUUCCAUAAUGUUAAUAAUUAUUUUUUAAGACUUUUAAAAAUUCUGAUAUAUUAGUUUUGAUAAAAAUUGGAUUUUCGGUGAAAUAUUUUUGUAUUAAACUUUCAAAAUUUGUAAAAUAUCCAAAAUUGAUUUAAAAAUUUUGAAAAUUUAUUUAUAAGCUUUUAAUAAUAUUAUCUAGCUGUGGUAAAUGUUUCGUGAUUUUUGGAUGAUUUUUUCCGAAUAAAUUGUAUAUCGUAAUUUUUACGUUAAAACCGAAACAAAAUAAUAAAACACGAACCAAGGGACACUUGGCAUCCUUAGAGGGGCUGGUUUUGUGCAUGUUUGCCAAGUGGCAUCAGCUGGGAUAUGAUGGGCAUGACUCACCCCAAGGGUGAGUGUACGUGUGCCAUGUGUCCAUGAGAUGUAAUAAAAAAAGAAAAAAAAGAAAUGCACACACAUGUACACUCCUUUCUCCCAAAUCACUCUGUCUCUCACCACUCUGCUCUCUCCCUCUCCGUACACCUAUCUCCCCCCUCCUGUUCCAGAAUAACCUCCCCCAUUUCCUUUCUUUCUCUUUUUAAUUUACAAACUAAUACCUCAAAAAUAUAUAUAUAUUUAUCUUUACAAGUUGAUUAAUUAAGUGCGGCUAAUUUGGAGAAUAGCUAGGCAAAUUCCACUCUCGGCUUUCGAGCACUUUCGGUUUCAAAGGGGUUCCCGACAGCAGUAGUAUUCCACACCUUGUGUCUUUUGCUCAGCUCAGAUAUAUCAAAAUCGCCCGUCUUGCCGUAGGAUUAGCCCAAGACGUUCCUCUAGCUCUUCGUUCUGGCUCGGUAGCUCUCAAGUAGUUCCAGGCGGUUGGAGUCAUAUCUAAACUAGGUUUCUAGCUUGAUCUAGAUAUUUCUGUAGGUUGGUUUUGAGGGAUAUGGUGUAAUCUCAUGUAGAGAUUGUCCCACAUCUUGGUAUGUUUCUGUUAUAAGUUGUAAACCUGUGACAUACUUAACCUGAUAAAGAUCCUGUUGUUGGGGUUGUUGUGUGAACUUAAUAAUAUUUGCUAGACAAACUUCAGAUUUGUGUUUUAAUAUGGUUAGUGGCUCCAGAACUCUAACCCCAGGUUCGGGACGUCACAAGUUGGUAUCAGAGCGACAGGUUUAAGUCACUGUCAUAGGUUAGAAUUAGCAUAACUUGUAAGGGUAAAGUCAAGCAACUCAUAUAGAGGAGCUAUUCGGUGAGAUCUAGUCAAGGGUUAGUGGUGCUGACCCUGGCAUUGAUUGGUAUUCUAAUAAUUGUUGACCGAGUUCUUCUUCUGGAUAGCAUAGUCCAGAGCUCGUUGAUCAUCUUGACCGUGUGCCCUUGGACCUUUCCAGGGAGAGGCUGCUCCGUUUCCCGAUAUUCUAGCGUGAGUGAUUCGCCCCUAUAUUAGUCUAAAGGCUAGGGCGGUGCAAUAUAGCGGACUUAUAGAUUGACUAGUAUUUGAGCUAGGAGUGAUCGGAGGCAGUGGUUAGAGUCAUGUUAAACGUUAUGGCUGUUGAGAGGGAUGAUAGUAUACUAUGGCAUCCCCAUUUAGGUUGGUGUUGUACUUGUUAUUCAGACAUUAUCUAUACUCAGUUGACUCUGGUAUGUACCUGAGUUGUUAGACUGUUGUACUCUAUCAUGGAUCUAUUUAGAUGCAUGCUUGUUGUUUAUUAUCUUGUAUUCAUUUGGGUUAUUUACAACUGGUAUAUUGUAUUGUCUUACUGUUGAUAUUUUGUAUACCAC